rnacentral:rRNA from 1 species
CGGUUAAGUUAGAAAGGGCGCACGGUGGAUGCCUUGGCACUAGGAGCCGAUGAAGGACGGGACGAACACCGAUAUGCUUCGGGGAGCUGUAAGCAAGCUUUGAUCCGGAGAUUUCCGAAUGGGGAAACCCACCACUCGUAAUGGAGUGGUAUCCAUAUCUGAAUACAUAGGAUAUGAGAAGGCAGACCCGGGGAACUGAAACAUCUAAGUACCCGGAGGAAGAGAAAGCAAAUGCGAUUCCCUGAGUAGCGGCGAGCGAAACGGGACCAGCCCAAACCAAGAGGCUUGCCUCUUGGGGUUGUAGGACACUCUGUACGGAGUUACAAAGGAACGAGGUAGAUGAAGAGGUCUGGAAAGGCCCGCCAUAGGAGGUAACAGCCCUGUAGUCAAAACUUCGUUCUCUCCUGAGUGGAUCCUGAGUACGGCGGAACACGUGAAAUUCCGUCGGAAUCCGGGAGGACCAUCUCCCAAGGCUAAAUACUCCCUAGUGACCGAUAGUGAACCAGUACCGUGAGGGAAAGGUGAAAAGCACCCCGGAAGGGGAGUGAAAGAGAUCCUGAAACCGUGUGCCUACAAGUAGUCAGAGCCCGUUAACGGGUGAUGGCGUGCCUUUUGUAGAAUGAACCGGCGAGUUACGAUCCCGUGCAAGGUUAAGCAGAAGAUGCGGAGCCGCAGCGAAAGCGAGUCUGAAUAGGGCGAAUUGAGUACGUGGUCGUAGACCCGAAACCAGGUGAUCUACCCAUGUCCAGGGUGAAGUUCAGGUAACACUGAAUGGAGGCCCGAACCCACGCACGUUGAAAAGUGCGGGGAUGAGGUGUGGGUAGGGGUGAAAUGCCAAUCGAACCUGGAGAUAGCUGGUUCUCUCCGAAAUAGCUUUAGGGCUAGCCUCAAGGUAAGAGUCUCGGAGGUAGAGCACUGAUUGGACUAGGGGCCCCUACCGGGUUACCGAAUUCAGUCAAACUCCGAAUGCCGAUGACUUAUCCUUGGGAGUCAGACUGCGAGUGAUAAGAUCCGUAGUCGAAAGGGAAACAGCCCAGACCGCCAGCUAAGGUCCCAAAGUAUACGUUAAGUGGAAAAGGAUGUGGAGUUGCUUAGACAACCAGGAUGUUGGCUUAGAAGCAGCCACCAUUUAAAGAGUGCGUAAUAGCUCACUGGUCGAGUGACUCUGCGCCGAAAAUGUACCGGGGCUAAACGUAUCACCGAAGCUGCGGACUGUUCUUCGAACAGUGGUAGGAGAGCGUUCUAAGGGCUGUGAAGCAAGACCGGAAGGACUUGUGGAGCGCUUAGAAGUGAGAAUGCCGGUAUGAGUAGCGAAAGAGGGGUGAGAAUCCCCUCCACCGAAUGCCUAAGGUUUCCUGAGGAAGGCUCGUCCGCUCAGGGUUAGUCGGGACCUAAGCCGAGGCCGAAAGGCGUAGGCGAUGGAUAACAGGUUGAUAUUCCUGUACCACCUCCUCACCAUUUGAGCAAUGGGGGGACGCAGGAGGAUAGGGUGNNNNNNNNNNNNNNNNNNNNNNNNNNNNNNNNNNNNNNNNNNNNNNNNNNNNNNNNNNNNNNNNNNNNNNNNNNNNNNNNNNNNNNNNNNNNNNNNGUAAGCGCGGUAUUGGAUAUCCGCGUCCAAGCAGUUAGGCUGGGAAAUAGGCAAAUCCGUUUCCCGUGAAGGCUGAGCUGUGAUGGCGAGCGAAUUAUAGUAGCGAAGUUCCUGAUUCCACACUGCCAAGAAAAGCCUCUAGCGAGGUGAGAGGUGCCCGUACCGCAAACCGACACAGGUAGGCGAGGAGAGAAUCCUAAGGUGAUCGAGAGAACUCUCGUUAAGGAACUCGGCAAAAUGACCCCGUAACUUCGGGAGAAGGGGUGCUCUGUUAGGGUGCAAGCCCGAGAGAGCCGCAGUGAAUAGGCCCAGGCGACUGUUUAGCAAAAACACAGGUCUCUGCGAAGCCGUAAGGCGAAGUAUAGGGGCUGACGCCUGCCCGGUGCUGGAAGGUUAAGAGGAGCGCUUAGCGUAAGCGAAGGUGCGAAUUGAAGCCCCAGUAAACGGCGGCCGUAACUAUAACGGUCCUAAGGUAGCGAAAUUCCUUGUCGGGUAAGUUCCGACCCGCACGAAAGGCGCAACGAUCUGGGCACUGUCUCAACGAGAGACUCGGUGAAAUUAUAGUACCUGUGAAGAUGCAGGUUACCCGCGACAGGACGGAAAGACCCCGUGGAGCUUUACUGCAGCCUGAUAUUGAAUGUUGGUACAGCUUGUACAGGAUAGGUAGGAGCCUUGGAAACCGGAGCGCCAGCUUCGGUGGAGGCAUCGGUGGGAUACUACCCUGGCUGUAUUGACCUUCUAACCCGCCGCCCUUAUCGGGCGGGGAGACAGUGUCAGGUGGGCAGUUUGACUGGGGCGGUCGCCUCCUAAAAGGUAACGGAGGCGCCCAAAGGUUCCCUCAGAAUGGUUGGAAAUCAUUCGCAGAGUGUAAAGGCACAAGGGAGCUUGACUGCGAGACCUACAAGUCGAGCAGGGACGAAAGUCGGGCUUAGUGAUCCGGUGGUUCCGCAUGGAAGGGCCAUCGCUCAACGGAUAAAAGCUACCCCGGGGAUAACAGGCUUAUCUCCCCCAAGAGUCCACAUCGACGGGGAGGUUUGGCACCUCGAUGUCGGCUCAUCGCAUCCUGGGGCUGUAGUCGGUCCCAAGGGUUGGGCUGUUCGCCCAUUAAAGCGGUACGCGAGCUGGGUUCAGAACGUCGUGAGACAGUUCGGUCCCUAUCCGUCGCGGGCGCAGGAAAUUUGAGAGGAGCUGUCCUUAGUACGAGAGGACCGGGAUGGACGCACCGCUGGUGUACCAGUUGUUCUGCCAAGGGCAUCGCUGGGUAGCUAUGUGCGGACGGGAUAAGUGCUGAAAGCAUCUAAGCAUGAAGCCCCCCUCAAGAUGAGAUUUCCCAUUCCGCAAGGAAGUAAGAUCCCUGAAAGAUGAUCAGGUUGAUAGGUCUGAGGUGGAAGUGUGGCGACACAUGGAGCUGACAGAUACUAAUCGAUCGAGGACUUAACCAAUUU